rnacentral:rRNA from 11 species
CUCGGAUCAGGUAGGGAUACCCGCUGAACUUAAGCAUAUCAAUAAGCGGAGGA